UAUAAAAAAAGAAACACAAACUAAAAUUCCUAAACCAAAACCUAAUCAUCCUCACGCUAGCCGUCACUCUCCCUCCCCCACAUUGUUAUUUCUUUCUUUCACCUUUAGUAAUCGGCAGUUCAAGGCUGCGAGAAAGACAAAAAAGGAUCAACAAGAGUGUAUCCCCAUUGCGAUCUUCAUUUAUGGACAAAAUUUUUAAUUUUUUGGUUCGUCUCUUCCCGGAUGCUCAAGAGAAAAGUCCCUUUGGAAAAUUGUAUUAUCAAUGCCAAACCUCUAGUGAUUUGAAGAGUGCUUCAUAUAUUCUUGGAUGCAUAAAGAUCAACAACUGCGAUGAGGGUGGUAACAUAAAGCAUCAAGAUCAACGGGGGUGGCAACAUGAAUCAUCAAGCAAAUGCUUAUAUUCGUUUAUAUGGAAUGUCGUACAUUAUUUCAGAUCUAUAUUACCAUAAAGCCUCACAUCGGCUAGUUCUUUUCGUCAAAUUUUAGUUACUAUAAAAGAGUUAUGUACUGCAGAUGAUAUUAAUUGAUUAAUAUAAUGUGUAUCUUGGAAUUUAUUUAGUGAAAAUUUUUAUAUGUUAA